GACUGAGCUAACCGGCCCCGCCGGCAGCAGGGGGCCCUACCCCUCUUGAGAAGUUUAAAGGCGAACGUUAUUCCAAUCACCAAAGAAACUUUUCUGAAGUUCUCGGAGCUGGAAAGAACCUACGAUCUUUGCUAACUUCUUUAGGUUCCUCGGCAAAUUUCUUCUAACCCUGAAAUUUCGGUUAAAAUACAACGCUGCGGAAGGAAAGUUCAAAUGUCACCUGCUUCAGUGUUUCAUGACAAGGGGUUUUAGUGACCACCCUUUUAAACGCAACGCCAUCACCGUCCGCCGGUACUGUGGCCUGUCCCUAUCACUCCUUUCUACUUUGCUUCGGUAGCUUCUGAGCGACCCGUGAAGAAAUUGACGGAAAACGGAAGGAAUUACCGCCAGUUCCUUUCCACGGGCCGUCAAGGCCAGUAUAAGUCCCCACCCAGGCUCCUCUGCUCGUAACUUCUAGCACGAUUCCCACUGUAUUCGCCCAUGUUUCCCAAAAGAUCCCGACUCAGAUUGAAAAAGCAGAGGAUGGUCACUGCCUUCCAGGUCUGAGGCUGUCUCCCAGAAACUUCGUUCCUGGCUUCGCCUUGGUUCUCCAUCACUUUCGGAGUCCUACAGGAGGAAAGUGCUAUUGAAGAUGCGGCGCGUAUGGCGUGAAGUUCUGGGGCUGGGAGAAGCUGCCCCACUACUUCCGGGCGGCCUUGCCUGCGGGGAGCAGUUCACAACCUAGUGUUGUCCACUUGCAUGGGAUGUUUCUUUUCCAUCACAAUGCUCUGAGAUAACUAAGUCAAGGGAAGUUUGUGCAGCCCUCCAGACCCUCCAGAUUUCAAAGGAAAGCCCACCGCUGCUGGUCUGGGGGAGCUGAUGGCCUAUUCAUGGAUGAGAUGGACUAGGGACAGUGGGAAGCAUAAUGGACCAACAGCAUUGUUGGAGGGGACUGGGUGAGGAAGCAGGAGCCUCAACAACACUCCCCAGUUACUGCGUGAACACUGUCUCCAGAGGGGUCUUGUAGCAUCAAAAAUUAAAGCUAAAUGUUGAUUUCUUUCUGGUAAUUAUUUUGUUCAGCAACCUGGAAAAACGAACAAAAAUUAUCUCAUUCCCGGUCCUAUCUAAAGUCUGAAAUAUUUAAUUAAAAUGAUAAAACUUU